UCAGGAUGAACGCUAGCGACAGGCUAACACAUGCAAGUCGAGGGGCAGCAUAAAAGUAGCAAUACUUGGUGGCGACCGGCGGCACGGGUGAGUAACGCGUAUGCAACCUACCUAUCGAGAGGGGGAAUAACCCGGCGAAAGUCGGACUAAUACCGCAUAAAACAGGGACACCGCAUGGUGAUAUUUGUUAAAGAAAUUCGCUGAUAGAUGGGCAUGCGUUCCAUUAGGUAGUUGGUGAGGUAACGGCUCACCAAGCCGACGAUGGAUAGGGGAACUGAGAGGUUGGUCCCCCACACUGGUACUGAGACACGGACCAGACUCCUACGGGAGGCAGCAGUGAGGAAUAUUGGUCAAUGGGCGAGAGCCUGAACCAGCCAAGUCGCGUGAAGGAAGAAGGAUCUAUGGUUCGUAAACUUCUUUUGCAGGGGAAUAAAGUGCAGGACGUGUCCUGUUUUGUAUGUACCCUGAGAAUAAGGAUCGGCUAACUCCGUGCCAGCCGCCGC
rnacentral:rRNA from 1 species